UACGUAGGGUGCGAGCAUUGUCCGGAAUUAUUGGGCGUAAAGAGCUUGUAGGCGGUUUGUCGCGUCUGCUGUGAAAAUCCGGGGCUCAACCCCGGACUUGCAGUGGGUACGGGCAGACUAGAGUGUGGUAGGGGAGACUGGAAUUCCGUGGUGUAGCGGUGAAAUGCGCAGAUAUCAGGAGGAACACCGAUGGCGAAGGCAGGUCUCUGGGCCGAUACUGACGCUGAGGAGCGAAAGCGUGGGGAGCGAACAGG
rnacentral:rRNA from 1 species